rnacentral:rRNA from 1 species
CCCUUAGAUGUUCUGGGCCGCACACGCGCUACACUGAAGGAGGCAGCGUGUACUCCUGGAUCGAAAGAUUUGGGUAACCCGCGAAUCUCCUUCGUGCUAGGGAUUGAGGUUUGCAAUUAUCCUUCAUGAACGAGGAAUUCCCAGUAAGUGCAAGUCAUAAGCUUGCGCUGACUACGUCCCUGCCCUUUGUACACACCGCCCGUCGCUACUACCGAUUGGGUGCUCCGGUGAAUUGUUUGGACUGCUGUCAGUCUUUUUGGCUGUCGGCGAGAAGCUCUGUGAACCUUAGCACCUAGAGGAAGGAGAAGUCGUAACA